GAUGAAGAACGCAGCGAAAUGCGAUAAGUAAUGUGAAUUGCAGAAUUCAGUGAAUCAUCGAAUCUUUGAACGCACAUUGCGCCCCUUGGUAUUCCGAGGGGCAUGCCUGUUCGAGCGUCAUUAUAACCCCUCAAGCUCAGCUUGGUGUUGGGGCCUGCUGCACUGGCAGCCCUUAAAAUCAGUGGCGGCGCCAUCUGGCUCUAAGCGUAGUAAUUCUUCUCGCUAUGGAGUCCUGGUGGAUGCUUGCCAUCAACCCCCAAUUUUUCUAUGGUUGACCUCGGAUCAGGUAGGGAUACCCGCUGCACUUAAGCAUAUCAAUAAGCGGAGGA
rnacentral:misc_RNA from 1 species